rnacentral:rRNA from 1 species
AAUCCCUGAGUAAAGCGGCGUACGGGUGAGUAACACGUGGAUGAUCUACCUUGGAGUGGGGAAUAACCCUGGGAAACUAGGGCUAAUACCGCAUACGCCUGAGAAGGGAAAGCGAGCAAUCGCGCUUUAAGAGGAGUCCGCGGCCGAUUAGCUAGUUGGCGAGGUAACGGCUCACCAAGGCUUCGAUCGGUAACCGGCCUGAGAGGGCGAUCGGUCACACCGGAACUGAGACACGGUCCGG